GAAAGCCGAAUCCAAAAGGCCCGAAGAAAGAAGUACUAAGACUAUUAUUAGUCGAGUGACCGUGUCUGCCCCCGGUACCUCUUCGACCACCACCGUGAAAACCUACAAGAUUAAAUGUUUAUAACAUUUCUUCUUUGAAAAAUAAAAUCGAGGAAAAAUAGCACAUUGUGUAACAAGUGCGGAAGGUUGAGUGAAGAGUGCAUUUACCCGCACGAGUGGGAAAAGCCGAUCUGCAUGUAUUACACUUUUUUUUUGUUGCCAGUAUGUCGAGGUGUGGUCCCUUGAGAGUUUUGGGUCCUCACAAAUUGACAGGGUAAAAGUACUAUGUAUGCCUUACCGGCGAAUAAAUCUUCAAACGGUAUCCCAUCGAAAAA
rnacentral:lncRNA from 1 species